ensembl:lncRNA
CUUGCUAGCUAGCUAACGUUAGCUAACGUCGGACAGAGUGCAGACAGUGAGACGUUUCCUCUCCUCAUAACUUACUGCCAUCUUGUGGUUAACAGCCAAUCCUCUAUUUGGAGCAAUCAGCUCUACAACGGAGCCGACUGUGGAAGCCGUGAAUCGGAGGGCUUUCUGGUUGAGUGCAGCUUUCUGUGUUGUUGACGGCGCACAACAGCACACGGUGGAUUCUCUUUGUGAGAAUCUUUGGUGUGAAAAAGAAAGGUCUCGAGUAGAAAAUGGAUCUCAUCACAGUU